ACUAUUUUGGCAGAUAAAGUGUAAUGGAUUUAGAAUCCGUUUAUGUGAUUAUAUCACAUAUAGUA
rnacentral:tRNA from 2 species